rnacentral:tRNA from 1 species
GGAAGUAUGGGAGAGCGGUGGAAACCAGCCCUCUGCUUAGGGGCCGAGCCUCAAAAGAUUCCGAAAGUUCGAAUUUUUCUGCUUCCG